rnacentral:tRNA from 1 species
GCGGCUCUAGCUCAGUGGCAGAGCACUUGCUUAGCAUGCAUGAAGCUCUGGGUUCGAUCCUCAGUACCACA